CGGCGAGUGAAGCGGCAACAGCUCAAUUUGAAAUCUGGCCCCCCCCGCGGGGGCCCGAGUUGUACUUUGGAGAGGAUGCUUUGGGCGCGGCGCCGGCCGAGUUCCCUGGAACGGGACGCCAGAGAGGGUGAGAGCCCCGUACGGCCGGACGCCCAGCCCGUGCAAAGCUCCUUCGACGAGUCGAGUAGUUUGGGAAUGCUGCUCAAAACGGGAGGUAAAUUUCUUCUAAAGCUAAAUACCGGCCAGAGACCGAUAGCGCACAAGUAGAGUGAUCGAAAGAUGAAAAGCACUUUGAAAAGAGGGUUAAACAGCACGUGAAAUUGUUGAAAGGGAAGCGCCUGGGGCCAGACGUGCGCCCCGCGGACCACCCGGCGCCCCGCGCGCCGGGGCACGCCGCGGGCGCGCAGGCCAGCAUCGGCUCCCCGCCAGGGGGACAAGGGCCGCGGGAACGUAGCUCCUCCGGGAGCGUUAUAGCCCGCGGCGCCAUGCCCCUGGGGGGGCCGAGG
rnacentral:rRNA from 1 species